UUUCCGGUGUCGGAAUGCGCCCGGCUGGCGUUGCUUGUUUUGGCAUUCGCUUCGUGGGCGGGGCAGUCGGGAGGGGCUUCGGGGGAAGUGACGUCACUCUGCCUUGCCUGCCUGCGUGGGCCGCCUGGCUCCUGGACUUGCUUUCUUGGGAAGGGAAGCCACCAUGGACUCUGCACAGGAAAGCUAUCUCUAUGGGACUGGAGACUCCAGAAUUCAGCCCAGGAUAAUGACUUCCUUCCAUCCCAGUUGAAUCCAUUCAUCAUAUUGUACAGAAACAAUUUCCUCAAAAUAUCAAUCCAGAAAAGAAGCAGAUUAUUAUAUUAGCUGUGCCUUACGGUAAAUUACAGUUCUGUUAUGAUAAAUUGAACGACACACUCCCAGAAAGAAAUUAGGCAAAA
rnacentral:lncRNA from 11 species